rnacentral:rRNA from 1 species
UACGUAGGGACCGAGCGUUGUCCGGAUUCAUUGGGCGUAAAGAGCUCGUAGGCGGCUGUUCAAGUCGAACGUGAAAACUCGGAGCUCAACUCCGAGCCUGCGUUCGAUACUGGACGGCUAGAGUCUGGUAGGGGGAUCUGGAAUUCCUGAUGUAGCGGUGGAAUGCGCAGAUAUCAGGAGGAACACCAAUGGCGAAGGCAGCUCACUGGGACGGUACUGACGCUGAGACGCGAAAGCGUGGGGAGCAAACAGG